GACGAACGCUGGCGGCGUGCUUAACACAUGCAAGUCGAACGGAAAGGCCCUGCUUUUGUGGGGUGCUCGAGUGGCGAACGGGUGAGUAACACAUGAGUAACCUGCCCUUGACUUUGGGAUAACUUCAGGAAACUGGGGCUAAUACCGGAUAGGAGCUCCUGCUGCAUGGUGGGGGUUGGAAAGUUUCGGCGGUUGGGGAUGGACUCGCGGCUUAUCAGCUUGUUGGUGGGGUAGUGGCUUACCAAGGCUUUGACGGGUAGCCGGCCUGAGAGGGUGACCGGCCACAUUGGGACUGAGAUACGGCCCAGACUCCUACGGGAGGCAGCAGUGGGGAAUAUUGCACAAUGGGCGGAAGCCUGAUGCAGCAACGCCGCAUGCGGGAUGACGGCCUUCGGGUUGUAAACCGCUUUCGCCUGUGACGAAGCGUGAGUGACGGUAAUGGGUAAAGAAGCACCGGCUAACUACGUG
rnacentral:rRNA from 1 species